CAGGCAAACACCCCACAGUGUAUGUCCUGAAGCAAAGGAACCAGUGUACUGCCAAACUUUGCAUCCAUGCUCCUGAUUACCAGAGGAAACAAGGGCUAUGGCAAAAUUCCUCAUGGGCUUGUUGACUUCCCAUUCAGCCUACCACUGCCUCCUGUGACCAUACCAGUCCUCUUUCCUAUUUAAACCUGGCACUCAAGUCACCCUGCGUGUUCCCUCACAAAGCACUCUGCUCAUCCAGCUUCUUGAAGAAGGCACCUGACAAAGCUUUCCUGACCUCUGUGUUCCUGACCUCCUGAUCUUCACUGUGUUACGCAACAUGUGAGAGAAAAAUUUCCAAAUUUUACUAAGUAGGAGCUCUACUAAAUAUACUGGCUUUUCUGCCAGUAAACCAGUCUCCCACUUUUACUAACAAUGCUACAAACAAAUGGGAUUACAAACAGGGAAUUUUAGGGCUAUAAUCCUAAAUCUGUCUUGUUAACUAGGUCUGUGCAACUAAACAGGCCCAAACCUGGAAACUGGCACUUUCUCCAUCUUCUGAUUCAAACAUCCCCUUGAGCUGAUACACACAACAUCUGUAAAGUGUGACUUUGUAACUACUUACAUGAACAGAAAUUGAAAUAACUUAAAAAUUAACUUGAAAAGUCUACAUUGAAAUAAGUUUGAGAAAUUUUCGUCCUCCACAGUUGAUAAAGUCCCUUUCACCAUUUGUGGUCCCUAAAAAGCCUGUGGUUCAAAAUUUGACCUCAAAACUCUCAUCUUUUUCUUUUUUUUCUUUUUUUUUUCUUUUUGAAUGGUGAAUGGUAUCUUUAAACUGAAUUCUUUUAUCACACAUAGCAUACAUUGGUAUGUAAGAACGUGUCAUUAUGCUUGUGUCUCCCAAGAUGCUAUUUCCAGCUAAGGCUUGCUGUGUCUCUGUGUGUGCUUGCUUGUGUGGAUAAUCACAUUAAGCUUUAUGAGAGCUCUUGGCUUAUUAGAAGACCCUGCCUGGAGAUGAUCCCAGCUCUGAUCUGGAGUGGAGGUUUGGUGCUGGGCCUACACUCAGCUCCUGGAAGCAGGCUCAGACCCCCAGCACUGCAGAGUGGAAAGGGAAGAACAAGACACCACUAAACAACACCAGUGCCAUGGAAUGCCUGGAGCUCUACAGGCGACUGGAAUGGGAAUGGGAUUGUUUCCCUCAUAUUCCUUACAUGAGCCAUGACAUCAUAAAUGCCCUGAAGAACACUUUUUCUGGUAGCUCCUGGAGCUUGAACACAAUGUCCCAAGCAGCAAAGAACUGCUGUCACCACUCUGCAGGCGUGGCAGGCAGGCACAAAGUCUGCAUGGUCACACAGAGACACCUGAGUAAAGCCCAGUGCAGGGAAUUAAAUGCACAAGAGUGUUGAGGGAAAAGAAGAGCAAGGACCAAUAGACAGAGUUGGAAGCUUGGUAUUCUUCCUGCCAGGUAUCAAUGUGGCUCUAGAUGAACAUAAAACAGAAUAAUCCUCUUCCUUCUUAGCUCCCUUUCAGCUUCAGCAUCACCUCUGCAAAGAGAACAAGGAAGAAACGAAGAGUUAAACACUGAGAAAGGUUGUUCUGGUAUAUCCAACAUGGUCAGAAAUACAUAGAGGAAACUAUUUUCAUUCAAGUAGAAUCUUUGCACUUUAAUAACAUGAAGAGAAGGGAAUUCUGCUGUAGCAUGUAACCACUAGAGUCUGGAGAUGUUGCAUAUUCAAAUUUGAAUCUACAUCCAGACUGAGUAGUGUCAUAAAAUGUGUCAGAUAUCAAUAGAUACAUUUUUCUUCCAGAGUCUGAGCAGUUAAUUUCCUGUAUGAGACACAUUUUACUCUAUGUGCCUACAAGUAAAAUAAACUAAAGCAACAUCAAAGUGAAUUAAAAUCCCCUCUCUAAUUUUGGGAGUGAUCGAUAACAAGUGAAACCUGUAAAACACAAACAUCACAUUUUCCUAUUCCAUUCUAUUCUUCUUUAAAACUAAAUUAUUGACUUCUUGAGAUCAUUAAUGAAAUCUUCACAAAUUAGCAUCUUAUCAAUGAAAUGUCAUAGCAGUCUUUUACUAUUGAGAGUUGAAGACUAUUACAUCUAGGGCAGUAGUUAGUCUAUAUUAAAGUUCUGUUACUUUUUUUUUAAUUAUGCUGAUUGAAAAUCAGUUUACUCUUAAUAAGGCAAAAUCCAUCCUUUCUAGACUAGAGGGAGUUUUGUGGUUUGGUUUUUUUUUUUUUUGUCUUGAAAGAUUCUGUGACAGGAGAUAAAGUGCAAGAGAACGCUCAGAGCAACAGAAAUCAUUGAAGACUUACUAAGGAAAGACUGUUAGUAAAUCCUUAUUACAAUACUGUCUUUCUUGUUAUCUAUGUAGGACACUUCUAAACCAAUAUAUAUCAGAUAUGAUAAAAUAUAUGAUACUUUUGCCAACUAUUCUACAGGAAAGAUUAAAUGAGUUGUUGAAUUAUCACAAGUGAAACCUGAUUUUGCCAGGAAUCACCUCUCUGCUUCAAGGUUUGGUUUGCUAAUCUGUGCUCAUUAUUUGCCAGAUUUCCUGCUUAGGAAAGCCUCAGGAAAACCUGCUCUGUAUCUAUUGAGGGAAAUUUAAUCUUUUCCUUCACUACAUUGAAUAUGGCAUUAUUAAUGCAAAUGGGUUUGUGUUGGUAAAGCAGGAAGCUGGCAUUUUACUGCCUGCAGAGAAAUGACAUCAAAUCCAAAAGCAGUUUAGCUUUUUGCUUUUUAGCAGAUGAACUCUCUACCAGUGACUUCUAAUUUUAACCUAUUCUUAAAAGGUUGGGUGAACCUCAAGGGCGCCCAUAUUUGCUAACUACAAAUAAAAGCUGCAAGCACUACAAACAAAUGCUGCACAGGAUCAGUAUUAUCAAAGGCUGAUCAUACCACGGUCACACUUCAGGGCCAUCUCUAUUUUAAGAAGUGAUUACUAUUUCAUUGCUAGGAAGAAAAAACAGGCAUUCUGUCUGGCUGAUCCCAAAAGCCUUCCACAUAUGGCUUCCCAGGAUGAAAAUCAAGCACAGCAUAGUAAAGGCAGCAAGACAAUUAAGAUAUCUGAGUGUUUGCUCUAAGUUCUUAAUGUGUGUGUCAGAAAGGAAGCAAAUAUUCUCCAAAGCAACAGCACACAUACUGUUCCAGCAUUCUCUUGAAGGCUAAUAAAGGCACUUGCAUUUUCUCCAA